GCGAAGUGAUGAUGAUGUUUAUCCAUUCUCAGAGCCACCGCCCCCUCUCCCCACCACGGCCGCUCCCCCCCCAGCGUCUUGCCGGGCGGGGGAGUAAGCUCAGCUCCCAUUGGCCAACGGUCUUUGGGAGCCGAGUGCCGAUUGGUCGGCGGAGGAGGGGGCAGGCGGGGUUGGGGGGGGGGGGGGCCUCCGGCCCCCCCCACUGCCCCCCCCCUCCCCGUCGGCUGAGAUGAGUCGACUUUUCUGAUCGC